AUAGCAUUUGUACCGUAGACAGUAGGUGCUAUUAUUAGCUUAAUUUCCUACCGAGGUGUAGUAUAUAAACUUGAUCAUACUACCUCUAUGUCUACAAGACAUAGAGGUUUUUUAAUC
rnacentral:sRNA from 1 species